UUUUGUGAUAUCAUCACCCCUUUGGAGGACUGUUGUUUUGAGGAGUUGGUAGCCCUGCCCAUUUUUGUGAUGUCACUUCCGGACCCCCGCCCUUGGAGGACUUGUUUUAGGACUUCUUAGAUCCACCCACUUUGUAACAUCAUUUCUACCCGCCCUGCCCUUGGAGGAUCGUGACAUCAUAACCCCUCGCCCUCCUGUCUCGCUGUCAACCCCUUUUAAAGGAAGUAGCACAACAUCACUUCCGGGGUCCCCUUCCCUCCCUUGGAGGACUGUGAUUUCAGCCCAUUUUACAGGAAGUAGUGAGGGCUGACUGCUGUUUGAACAGGGGAUUGUGUGCAAAAAUUAAUUUAAAAAGUCUGUUUACACGCACAGCAUGGUGGAAAGACUUUAUCAGUGUAAAUGUAAACAUACUAGGAAAGGUUUAUCAAUGCAAAUGUAAGCAAACUAUGGCUCAGUUCCUGAGCCAGGGCCCUAUUGUAAUGCAAGGAUUUUGAGCAACAUCAUGUAUUUGUUCUAGGGGGGUGCUUACAUUGUAGAACAGGCCGCUCAUCAGAAUACAGGACUUUUGCAAAUUGUCAAGACUUGUGUUGUCAAAAUUCUCCACCAUUGUUUAAUGGGUUGCCUGCAAAAUGAGGAUCAGCUGGAUAGAGCCAUUGAAGCAAGUGUUGUUAAAAGCAUGUGUCUUCAAAUAUCUAAACCUCAAAUUGUAUGGACAAUUAUUAAUAUUUCUGACAAAAUGAAUAAAUUAUAUUUCACAAGGGAUACCUUGAAUGAAGUCAAUGCCUGUAUAAAAAGUAUUGAGAAGUCGAAGGACCCACAGGCAUUAAUGACAAAGAUACAAGAGGAGACCCUGAUAUCUGUCAAGAGAUUGAUAUGCCAAACUGUAUCAGAAAUUUAUUACAAGAAAAUGUUAAUGUAAAUGGAGCGAAUUUCAAAUAAAGCAGUUAUUGGAAA